AAUCAACGCUGGCGGCGUGCCUCAGACAUGCAAGUCGAACGAUUAAAGCUCUCUUCGGAGAGUGUAUAGAGUGGCGCACGGGUGAGUAACACGUAAGUAAUCUACCUUUGAGUGGGGAAUAACAAUCGGAAACGAUUGCUAAUACCGCAUAAUGCAGCGGCAUCGCAAGAUGACAGUUGUUAAAGGAGCAAUCCGCUUAAAGAGGAGCUUGCGGCAGAUUAGCUAGUUGGUAAGGUAAUGGCUUACCAAGGCUACGAUCUGUAACCGGUCUAAGAGGACGGUCGGUCACACUGACACUGAAUAACGGGUCAGACUCCUACGGGAGGCAGCAGUCGGGAAUUUUGGCAAUGGGCGAAAGCCUGACCCAGCAACGCCGCGUGAAGGAUGAAAUCCCUCGGGAUGUAAACUUCGCAAGAACGGG
rnacentral:rRNA from 1 species